GACCAUCACAUCUUCACUCUCAAUUCCCAACAAUUAGAUCGUAGAUCUCUUUACCAAGGAUGUCAAUUAAUUCCGCAUAUUUAUUUCUUUGUUAACUAUUUCGGACAGUUGGAGGUCUCCUCUCGUUUGAGCUUAUAAAAGCUCGUUGCUUUGUUCUCAUUACACAAUUUCUAAGCAAUAAAAAGUUCAAGUUGGUCUUCUUCCAACAUUCAAGUCUUUGAGCAUUGUUUUGAGUCAAUAUUUUUGUGUGGUUUCCCCUUAAAUUUCUCUCACGAGUCUUGUAUCCAUAUAAACGUUUUUCCCUUUGAUAAAUUAAGCCGCGUUUAUCGGUUACUUAUCAUCUCAUCUCCACCAAAUCAAUACUUCUGUAACUCAUCAACCUCUAUAGCAUCAUCGUACCACCCCUUGAG